rnacentral:rRNA from 1 species
UACGGGGGGAGCAAGCGUUGUUCGGAUUUACUGGGCGUAAAGGGCGCGUAGGCGGCCACCGCAAGUCGACUGUGAAAUCUCCGGGCUUAACCCGGAAAGGUCAGCCGAUACUGCGGGGCUAGAGUGCAGAAGGGGCAACUGGAAUUCUCGGUGUAGCGGUGAAAUGCGCAGAUAUCAGGAGGAACACCGGUGGCGAAGGCGGAUCUCUGGGCCUUACCUGACGCUCAGGUGCGAAAGCUAGGGGAGCGAACAGG